rnacentral:rRNA from 1 species
GAGUUUGAUCGUGGCUCAGAUUGAACGCUGGCGGCAUGCCUUACACAUGCAAGUCGAACGGCAGCAUGAUCUAGCUUGCUAGAUUGAUGGCGAGUGGCGAACGGGUGAGUAAUACAUCGGAACGUGCCCUGUAGUGGGGGAUAACUAGUCGAAAGAUUAGCUAAUACCGCAUACGACCUGAGGGUGAAAGUGGGGGACCGCAAGGCCUCAUGCUAUAGGAGCGGCCGAUGUCUGAUUAGCUAGUUGGUGGGUAAAGGCCCACCAAGGCGACGAUCAGUAGCUGGUCUGAGAGGACGAUCAGCCACACUGGGACUGAGACACGGCCCAGACUCCUACGGGAGGCAGCAGUGGGAUUUGGACAAUGGCGAAGCCUGAUCCAGCAAUGCCGCGUGUGUGAGAAGGCU